rnacentral:rRNA from 1 species
GUGGGGAAUUUUGGACAAUGGGGGCAACCCUGAUCCAGCCAUGCCGCGUGCGGGAAGAAGGCCUUCGGGUUGUAAACCGCUUUUGUCAGGGAAGAAAUCCUUUGGGUUAAUACCUCGGAGGGAUGACGGUACCUGAAGAAUAAGCACCGGCUAACUACGUGCCAGCAGCCGCGGUAAUACGUAGGGUGCGAGCGUUAAUCGGAAUUACUGGGCGUAAAGCGUGCGCAGUCGGUUUUGUAAGAUCGAUGUGAAAUCCCCGGGCUCAACCUGGGAACUGCAUUGGGGACUGCAAGGCUGGAGUGCGGCAGAGGGGGAUGGAAUUCCGCGUGUAGCAGUGAAAUGCGUAGAUAUCAAGAGGAACACCAGUGGCGAAGGCGAGUCUCUGGACAAGACCUGACGCUGAGGCACGAAGGCCAGGGGAUCAAACGGGAUUAGAAACCCGUGUAGUCC